rnacentral:rRNA from 1 species
UGGGGAAUCUUGCACAAUGGGCGAAAGCCUGAUGCAGCGACGCCGCGUGGGGGAUGAAGCUUUUCGGAGUGUAAACCCCUUUCGACCCGGACGAAUGUCCCGCAAGGGAACUGACGGUACGGGUAUAAGAAGCCCCGGCUAACUACGUGCCAGCAGCCGCGGUAAGACGUGGGGGGCCAGCGUUGCUCGGAAUUACUGGGUGUAAAGGGUUCGUAGGCGGUGUAGCAAGUCGGGAGUGAAAUCUCUGGGCUCAACCCAGAGACUGCUUCCGAAACUGCUGUGCUUGAGUGUGGGAGAGGCGCGUGGAAUUGCAGGUGUAGCGGUGAAAUGCGUAGAUAUCUGCAGGAACACCCGUGGCGAAAGCGGCGCGCUGGACCACUACUGACGCUGAGGGACGAAAGCUAGGGGAGCAAACAGGAUUAGAUACCCUGGUAGUCCUAGCCCUAAACCAUCAGGACUUGGGGUGUGCCCUGUACGGGGCACGUCCCGUAGCUAACGCGUUAAGUCCUGCGCCUGGGGAGUACGGUCGCAAGGCUG